rnacentral:rRNA from 1 species
GACGAACGCUGGCGGCGUGCUUAACACAUGCAAGUCGAACGAUGAAGCUGGAGCUUGCUCCGGUGGAUUAGUGGCGAACGGGUGAGUAACACGUGAGCAAUCUGCCCCUGACUCUGGGAUAACUGCGGGAAACUGUAGCUAAUACCGGAUACGACACCUUCGGGCAUCCGAUGGGUGUGGAAAGAACUUCGGUCAGGGAUGAGCUCGCGGCCUAUCAGCUUGUUGGUGAGGUAACGGCUCACCAAGGCGACGACGGGUAGCCGGCCUGAGAGGGUGACCGGCCACACUGGGACUGAGACACGGCCCAGACUCCUACGGGAGGCAGCAGUGGGGAAUAUUGCACAAUGGGCGCAAGCCUGAUGCAGCAACGCCGCGUGAGGGACGAAGGCCUUCGGGUUGUAAACCUCUUUUAGCAGGGAAGAAGCGAAAGUGACGGUACCUGCAGAAAAAGCACCGGCUAACUACGUGCCAGCCGCCGCCGUAA